GUUGGGGUUUUAUUUUUAUUUUACAAGAAUAUAACAUGCUGCAACAGGAAACACGGGGAUUGAGUACAUCAUCUGUAUCUCGGAAACCAGCUCCAGUUGUCAACAAUAAAUAAAUAUUUCAAUAGUGAGGAGUCCCUGACCGGUGCCAAGAGGUUCCCAGCACGUCCCGAGGUAGAGCCUGGUGGCGGGAGGGACACAGGCUGCCAGGUCCUGCUGAGAUUCUUGGGUCGAGGCAGACUAUAGUCACAAUAAUAUAGUCACAAUAAUAAAUAACAAUAGCAAUCACACCCACAGACAGUAACAAAAAAUAACAUGCUCUGGCAGUCGUCAUAGAACCAGCAAGACGUUAUAACUUAAAUAAUUGUCUCCUGGAGGAGCUCACAGUGCAGCGAGAACAGGGCUGAUUCCCAGGCACAGGGGGCCGCCUGGUCCAUCACCUCCCAGCCUGGCCUCCUGUGCAGGCCCCACCUCAGCAGGUUUGUUCAGCGAUGCCCUGAGGUGACAGACAGGUUCCGAUUUUCCCAGUCCUGCUCUUCCACGCAGCCUCUCUCUGUAACUCCACUCCCAGCUCCUGGGAUCUGUCCAAGGGUCAUCGUGGUCCCUCAACAUUGUGGUAAGUGCCCCUCACACCCACGGGAAGGAGACAGAGGCUCCCCCACUUCCAGCGUGGGUGCCUCUUUUCCCCUGUUCUCAUCCUCACACAAAAAUAUUGGCUUGACUUAAACAGAACUUUCAGGAACAGUCAAGAGAUUUCUAUCUUAGGGUCCUUUUCUCCCUCCCUGCACACAGCUGGGCAUGAGAGCCGACUAGCCACUCCCCGAGAGGGGCCACCCCUUCCUCCUCGAGGGCGUGGCUUCAAGGGUGGAACCGAGCUGAGGGGGCGUAUCCCAGCAAGAGGCCCUGCUCACCUGUGCACCCUGCUGCAAACACAAGGUCAGGGACCACCUGCAAGGUCACCUCUCGGUUCAUUUCCCAUGAGCAAGAUGGCUUCUCUUGGGGGCUCUCCGCUGACUUGGAAGUGGGCCCAAAGGCCAGUGUUUGAGGUAUAAAAAUCUCCCUUGGGGCCAGCGUCACGCUGGUCCCCUGGCCUUGAAAAGACUGUGAGGCUGGACACGGGAGUGUUAAGAAGUACAAGCUAAAGGGCCCUUAGGCGGCCGAGGCAGGUGGGGCGGAUGGAACGGGAAGGGUCCGCAUCCAGGGCUCCCUCCUGUGCCCAGGACAGCCUGGGAAUGAGGCACACAGGCUGUGACCGGUCCACUGUGCCACAGGCAGAGCAGCUGACCUGGCUGAUUUCCCUCCCAUUUUUGAGUUUCCCUUUAUUUACAUUUCCCAAACCCCCCUGGACUCUUUCCUGCCCCGUUGAGAAUGACAAGAGCCCGUGAUACCUCCUGCACCACCAUCCUUUUCCCCAGAGAGCACCACACCGCCGUGACCUUCAGCCCUCGUCCGAAAGCCCUGGGAGUGGGGACGACCCUCUCAUGCAUGAAGUUCAGUCCCACCGUUUCUGGAGGAGAGGCUGUUGCUU